rnacentral:lncRNA from 12 species
CGCUGGGUCGAGAGCGUCCACUGAGGGUUCACUUCGCACCGCGAGCGCGGCCGGCACCGAGGACGAGCCCAGUCAGCCCCGCUCCCGCCCGGCCGCCGCGGGCCUGAAGGUCACCUAGGGAAGGACCACAGGACAGGAGUGGGCGGCGGCAGGCGGAUCUGGGGAGGAGAGUCAAACUGAUGCAGGAGCCGGGAUGCCCAGGGAGGAAGGCCUGCCUCGGCUGUGGCUGGGUGGCAGUGAGGGCUUCCCCAAGGUGGUCCUGGAGCUCAGAGGGGCCAAGGAGACGGAGCACACCUCCCCAGAGUUUCUCCAGUGAUCCUGAAAAGGACCAUCCGCGAUGCCACCGACCGUCGGAUUCGAUGACUUCCCACUGGUUCGGGAGCUGGCUUUGGCUACCUUGGGGACCCGCAGCCCUCCGCACCUCCCUCCGAGAAUGAUUCCACAAGGCCACGUUUUUUUGUUCUUCUGGAGGAUGGUUUACCUGGCCAAUGGGCUGAGGGGUGCGAGCUCCCCACCCCGACCCCCAGCCACCUGAGGCGGGGCGGAGGAUGGCGGCCUGCCUGCCUGGCCCAGCAGGCUGGAGGUCCGAGAGCACAGAGCCUUCUCUGCCAGGCAGAAAGCAAAUGAAAUCACUCAAGGGAAACUUGGCUGGAGACAAAACACAUUCAAUUUCCUGACUCCGCUUUCUCUCCCGAAUUAUUUGCCUUUGCAGAGGCACGUGAAACAAAUGAAACAUAAAAAUGGAAACUCCCUGGCAAAGAAAAAAAUUUUUUAAGAAAGGAUCUGGUAAUAACAAUAAUAAAAAUGAAAGAAAACAAUAGCA